GCCGAAAUAGAUCAGUUGGCAUAGCAAUUCAUUCUUAAUGAAUAGGUUAUCGGUUCGAGUCCGAUUUUCGGCU
rnacentral:tRNA from 1 species